UACGUAGGAUGCAAGCGUUGUCCGGAAUUCUUGGGCGUAAAGAGCGCGCAGGCGGUCUAUCAAGUCAGAUGUGAAAUCUCCGGGCUUAACCCGGAGGGGUCAUUUGAAACUGGUAGACUAGAGUACAGCAGAGGAUAGCGGAAUUCCCGGUGUAGUGGUGAAAUGCGUAGAUAUCGGGAGGAACACCAGUGGCGAAGGCGGCUAUCUGGGCUGAAACUGACGCUGAGGCGCGAAGGCUAGGGGAGCAAACAGG
rnacentral:rRNA from 1 species